GACGGGGGCCCGCACAAGCGGAGGAACAUGUGGUUUAAUUCGAUGAUACGCGAGGAACCUUACCCGGGCUCGAACGCUGCAGGAAGGAUCAAGAGAUUGUGACGCCCUUCGGGGCCUGCAUCGAGGUGCUGCAUGGUUGUCGUCAGCUCGUGUCGUGAGAUGUUGGCUCAAGUGCCAUAACGAGCGCAACCCUUGCCGCCAGUUACCAGCAAGUAAAGUUGGGGACUCUGGCGGGACUGCCACCGCAAGGUGUGAGGAGGGAGGGGAUGACGUCAAAUCAGCACGGCCCUUACGUCCGGGGCGACACACGUGUUACAAUGGCGGUUACAGAGGGAUGCCACCUGGCGACAGGGAGCGAAUCUCAAAAAGCCGCCUCAGUUCGGAUCGAAGUCUGCAACCCGACUUCCGUGAAGCUGGAUUCGCUAGUAAUCGCGCAUCAGCCAUGGCGCGGUGAAUACGUUCCCGGGCCUUGUACACACCGCCCGUCAAGCCAUGAAAGCCGGGGGUGCCUGAAGUUCGUGACCGCAAGGAGCGACCUAGGGCAAAACCGGUAAUUGGGGCUAAGUCGUAACAAGGUAGG
rnacentral:rRNA from 1 species